rnacentral:rRNA from 1 species
GGGCCCGCACAAGCGGUGGAGCAUGUGGUUUAAUUCGAUGAUACGCGAGGAACCUUACCAGGGUUUAAAUGCAGAACGACAGGGGUGGAAACACCCCCUUCUUCGGACGGACUGCAAGGUGCUGCAUGGUUGUCGUCAGCUCGUGCUGUGAAGUGUCGGGUUAAGUCCCAUAACGAGCGCAACCCCCAUUUCUAGUUGCCAGCGGUUCGGCCGGGGACUCUAGAGAAACUGCCAGCGUAAGCUGUGAGGAAGGUGGGGAUGACGUCAAAUCAUCACGGCCCUUACAUCCUGGGCCACACACGUGCUACAAUGGUGGGGACAACAGGUUGCCAACCCGCGAGGGUGAGCC